rnacentral:rRNA from 1 species
UGGGGAAUCUUGGACAAUGGGCGCAAGCCUGACCCAGCAACGCCGCGUGAAGGAUGAAGUAUUUCGGUAUGUAAACUUCGUAAGAAUAGGAAGAAUAAAUGACGGUACUAUUUGUAAGGUCCGGCUAACUACGUGCCAGCAGCCGCGGUAAUACGUAGGGACCAAGCGUUGUUCGGAUUUACUGGGCGUAAAGGGCGCGUAGGCGGUGUGUCAAGUCAGUUGUGAAAUCUCCGAGCUUAACUCGGAACGGUCAACUGAUACUGUCACACUAGAGUACAGAAGGGGCAAUCGGAAUUCUUGGUGUAGCGGUGAAAUGCGUAGAUAUCGGAAGGAACAUCGGUGGCGAAGGCGUCUACCUGGCCUAAUACUGACGCUGAGACGCGAAAGCGUGGGGAGCAAACAGGAUUAGAUACCCCGGUAGUCCCUGAGCGGGCUGGCAAGGCGCAU